UACGGAGGAUGCGAGCGUUAUCCGGAUUUAUUGGGUUUAAAGGGUGCGUAGGCGGGAUGCCAAGUCAGCGGUAAAAAUGCGGUGCUCAACGCCGUCGAGCCGUUGAAACUGGCGUUCUUGAGUGGGCGAGAAGUAUGCGGAAUGCGUGGUGUAGCGGUGAAAUGCAUAGAUAUAUGGAAGAACACCAGUGGCGAAAGCGGCUCUCUGGUCUGUAACUGACGCUGAGGUUCGAAAGCGUGGGUAGCAAACAGG
rnacentral:rRNA from 1 species